AACGAACGCUGGCGGCAUGCCUAACACAUGCAAGUCGAACGAAACCUUCGGGUCUAGUGGCGCACGGGUGCGUAACGCGUGGGAACCUGCCCUUAGGUUCGGCAUAACUCCCGAAAGGGGUGCUAAUACCGGUUAUUGUCUUCGGACCAUAGAUUUAUCGACUUUGGAUGGGCCCGCGUUGGAUUAGCUAGUUGGUAGGGUAAAAGCCUACCAAGGCGACGAUCCAUAGCUGGUCUGAGAGGAUGAUCAGCCACACUGGGACUGAGACACGGCCCAGACUCCUACGGGAGGCAGCAGUGGGGAAUAUUGGACAAUGGGGGAAAGCCUGAUCCAGCAAUGCCGCGUGAGUGAUGAAGGCAUUAGGGUUGUAAAGCUCUUUUACCCGGGAUGAUAAUGACAGUACCGGGAGAAUAAGCGCCGGCUAACUCCGUG
rnacentral:rRNA from 1 species